rnacentral:lncRNA from 1 species
UAUGUGUAAUCAGCUCUCUGACUUAGUGCCUUAUUAGAAAUUAAUUUUAAGGCAUUUCCUAAUUUCCCAAGAGAGUGAAAAAGGCAACAAUUUAUAUAGGAAUGAAAAGAAGGGAACAAUUCCAGAGGAUCAAGAGAGUGAAGCAAACCUUAUGAGAGAAAGGGAACUUGAACUAGACUUUGGAGGAAGGAAGGGAUUUAGUUAAGCAGGGAGUAGGAGGGGAGGCACCAGGGAGCCAUCACUACUGUUAAGUUUGAUGAAGCACUUGAAUUACAGCUUCCAGGAGAACAUUGACUUUCUUAAUCCACAUUUUAAUUUUUAUUGAGCUAGCAGAAAACUCAUUAGAAUUAUCUUGUUCACCUCAAGUUCUCCUUUCUCCAAUCCAUGACAGAUCACCGUCUGUAUCCCCUUCCUGCCCCUUGCUAAGCCUUGAGAAUCACAAAGCAAGUGCUUUUGUCCUCUUUGAAUAUGAGAACUUAUCAUCUCAUUGAUAAAGGUGGGUCCUCUUUCACUACUCAAAGUUAUCCAUAACCCUCUUCCUUGUACUAUAACAUACCCUGUGCUUCCAUGAUCUACCCCUUCUUUCCUCCUAGACAAUAGAACAAUAACUAAGAUCAAGUCACAGCAAAAUCUAAUUAGGAAUGUGAAAGGAAAGGGGAUAUAAACAAAAAGAACUCUGGGACCUUGUCAGUAUGUACUAGCAGGCUGAGAAAGUAUAAUAGAUGAAAACCUAAAGCCAAGACACUCUGGCCAAAAAAAAAAAAAAAAAAAAAACUAAAUGAAAGAUCUCCAUGACUGAUAUCCCAGUGGAAAGAACAGGUCAUCAAAGAAGGAGGUACCUUUCUCUGAAGGGAGGAGAGAACUUCCACUCUGACUACGACCUUGUCUAAAUAUGAUCAGAGUCGGUGAACUCAAAAGGCUUCCAUAGCCUUGGCAACUCAUGACAAGAGCCUAGGGUGAUUACUGAUGCCAUAAACAAGGGUUUCAAUUUGUUAAGUCAACAGCAGGAGUCACUGUGCACUUACUCCUCAUGUAGGAUCUCUGUCCUUAAUGUGCGGUACAUUGUGAUUUAAUGCUAUAACUAGUACUCAAACAGUAUUUUUCACUUUGUGUUUCUAUGUGGGUGCAAACUGUUGAAAUCUUUACUUAAUAUAUACUAAACUGAUCUUCUGUAUAUAAAGAGAAUUGAAAAUGAAUCUUGAUGUGAAUGGAAGGGGAGAGGGAGUGGGAAAGGAGAGGGUUGUGGGUUGGAGGGAGUUUAUGGGGGGGGGGGAGCCAUUGUAAUCCAUAAGCUGUACUUUGGAAAUUUGCAUUCAUUAAAUAAAAGUAAAAAAAUUAAAAAAAGAAUAAAAAUU